AGUUUUGCGCAGUGGCAGUAUCGUAGCCAAUGAGGUUUAUCCGAGGCGCGAUUAUUGCUAAUUGAAAACUAAAAAUUUACUACUUCUUUCCUGAUUGUUUCCUGAAUUGGAAAACUGGUAUCAACCCUGAAAAGGA
ensembl:snRNA U4 U4 spliceosomal RNA